rnacentral:rRNA from 1 species
AGCGAACGCUGGCGGCAGGCCUAACACAUGCAAGUCGAACGAACUCUUCGGAGUUAGUGGCGGACGGGUGAGUAACACGUGGGAACGUGCCCUUUGGUUCGGAAUAACUCAGGGAAACUUGUGCUAAUACCGAAUGUGCCCUUCGGGGGAAAGAUUUAUCGCCAUUAGAGCGGCCCGCGUCUGAUUAGCUAGUUGGUGAGGUAACGGCUCACCAAGGCGACGAUCAGUAGCUGGUCUGAGAGGAUGACCAGCCACACUGGGACUGAGACACGGCCCAGACUCCUACGGGAGGCAGCAGUGGGGAAUCUUGUGCAAUGGGCGAAAGCCUGACGCAGCCAUGCCGCGUGAAUGAUGAAGGUCUUAGGAUUGUAAAAUUCUUUCACCGGGGACGAUAAUGACGGUACCCGGAGAAGAAGCCCCGGCUAACUUCGUG